AGUGAACGCUGGCGGUAGGCCUAACACAUGCAAGUCGAACGGCAGCACAGUAAGAGCUUGCUCUUACGGGUGGCGAGUGGCGGACGGGUGAGGAAUACAUCGGAAUCUACUUUUUCGUGGGGGAUAACGUAGGGAAACUUACGCUAAUACCGCAUACGACCUACGGGUGAAAGCAGGGGAUCUUCGGACCUUGCGCGAUUGAAUUAGCCGAUGUCGGAUUAGCUAGUGGGCGGGGUAAAGGCCCACCAAGUCGGGGAUCCGUAGCUGGUCUGAGAGGAUGGUCAGCCACACUGGAACUGAGACAGGGUCCAGACUCCUACGGGAGGCAGCAGUGGGGAAUAUUGGACAAUGGGCGCAAGCCUGAUCCAGCCAUACCGCGUGGGUGAAGAAGGCCUUCGGGUUGUAAAGCCCUUUUGUUGGGAAAGAAAAGCAGCAGGUUAAUACCCCGCUGUUCUGACGGUACCCAAAGAAUAAGCACCGGCUAACUUCGUG
rnacentral:rRNA from 1 species